GACGAGGGGUCCUAGCGUUGUUCGGAAUCAUUGGGCGUAAAGCGCGCGUAGGUGGUCCCGUAAGUCCGCUGUGAAAGUCAAAGGCUCAACCUUUGAAAGCCGGUGGAUACUGUGGGACUAGAGUACGGAAGAGGCGAGUGGAAUUCCUGGUGUAGCGGUGGAAUGCGCAGAUAUCAGGAGGAACACCAAUAGCGAAGGCAGCUCGCUGGGACGUUACUGACACUGAGGCGCGAAAGCGUGGGGAGCGAACAGG
rnacentral:rRNA from 1 species